AAAUAAAAUACAACUUCUGUCAAGGAAUACCUUUGUACUUUUGAGUCCUAAACCAAUAUCUUCACUUUUAUGUUUUUCUUUAACAAUAGGCAGUGGAAGGUCGAUCAAUUCUCCAAUUAAAUUCAUUUGUUAGAAAUCAAGUCUUAGAUUGUCUUCUAUCUACAACAACAAGACACUUCCUGCUCUGAAUAUUUGGGGACUCUAAUUUCUAACCCGCAUGGCUCAAGAUACUAAAAGAGCUGCUGUUGAAGGGGAUAGAGAAGAUAGAAUCAGUGCUUUACCAAGUAACGUUAUAGAUGGUAUCCUUGAGCUCCUGCCGGUCAAAGAUGCAGCAAGAACUAGUAUUUUGGCCCAAAAAUGGAGAUAUAUUUGGGCGAUGCUUCCAAAUCUGGUGCUAGAUAAGUGUUUUUUCGGAAAAAUACCACCUCGUCUCUUCAAAGAAAUAGUAAAUGGGAUUCUCUUACAGCAUAUUGGAGUCAUUGUGAAGUUUGUUCUUGACUUUGUAGGAUUACCUUUUUCAACAUAUACAGAUAGAGAUAUUGAUAGAUGGAUGCGUUAUGUCACCAGAAAUGGUGUCAAGGAGCUAACCCUUGACUUGCCAGAUAUUAGAACUUAUAAACUGCCUUCAUAUAUAAUUAAUUGUCCAACCCUGACAUAUUUGGAACUCCAAAACUGUUUAUUCAACCCACCAAAUUCUUUUCUUGGAUUUCAGAAUCUUAUAGACCUCUAUCUUAAAAAAAUAACCUUUGUGCCAACCCCAGAGUUUUGUGUUAUCAAUGUCCCUCGUCUUGUCAUUUUGAGUUUGAUUUCCUGUGAUGGCACUCAAUAUCUGAACAUAGUUUCACCACAGUUGGAGUCCUUGACUCUUCGUGAGUUUCACUCUCUCGUGCUAAAUUGCUUUAUGAAUUGCAAAAGUUUGAGAGCGUUAGUAUUUCUUGAAUUUGACCAAGUGGUUGAAAAAUUAACUUUGGACAAGCUUCUGUCUAGCUUGCCUACACUUGAGGUGCUCGUUUUGGGUUCUAUUUUCCUUGAGCUGUUGAGUGCAGUCAUUGUUCCUAAGGGCCCUCCUUUUACGUUCUACUGCUUGUGGCAUCUGUCAUUAAGUGUAGAUUUUGGCAAAUUGAGUCAGAUCUCUUGCGCUCUACAGUUAAUUAAGAGUUUUCCCCAUUUGAGUAAACUUCAGAUUUGGGUCUAUGGUACUGGCGACAAUGCUGAAGCAGUGAAAUAUCUGGACAGGGCGGUCCGAUCAAUUUCGUGGCUUAAAGCCAAACUUUAUGAGGGGCUUUAACUUUUUUAUUAAUAAAAAAUAUUUUAUUUUUAUUUGAAGUCUAUUUUUCUAACUUUUUUUAGAUGCAAAGUUAUUAUUAAUUUUUUAUAACCAAUUUCAACUAAUAAGUCUUUCUCAAUUGACAAUAUAGCUAAUUCAUUUAAUAUCUUUGAGACAUUGUUGAUCUUAGGUAAGGUUUUAUCAAUUUUAAUUUUGAAACACCUUUUUCCGCUGAAGCAACGGUAAUAGGAGUUAUUAACAUUAUUUUAUAAGUAAUAUAGGCAUUUGAAAAAUAAUCAAACCUUUUUAUUUGAUUGAGUAUAUCAAUUAAAUUGUUAUCUUCUAAUUGUACUAUUUUUCUUAAUAUUUUUAAUUCAGAAAAUAAAUCUAAACUAUCAAUAUCGGGUUGAUUAUUAUGAUUUAAGGAGCUUUCAAGAUGAAGACAAUAUUUUUUUCAAAUUUUCAUCAACUAUUGAUUUCAGUUUUUACCGCUAAAUAGAAAACCAAAAAUAUUUUCAUAUGCCUCUAAUUGUUCAAAUCUAUUUUAAAGUGAAAAGAUAACCUUGUCUACUACUCUCUCCGGUCCAUAAUAAAUGAUUUUUUUUGCUUUUAUUUUGGUCCAAAAUAAGUGUCCUUGUAUAUAAUCGAGAAGGAAUUAACUUUAUUUUUUCAAAAUUUUCCCUUAUUUACAUAUCUUAAUGUGUCAAGUUAACAACAUAUAAAUUUUAAUUAAAGAUAAUUUUAUUCAAUAUACAUUUUUGUUCUAGGAGUCAGUAUUUUCUUAAGGGGUACAACAAAGGUUAAAAAGUCAUUUAUUAUGGACCAGUGAGAGUAUGUAUAAAAGGUAAUCAAUUCUAAAGGUUUCUUCAAUAGAUUUUGAGAUUUCACUAUUAACAUUCACCUCAAAUUGUUUCUUCAUAUAUAUUACAUAUUUUUUAUAAAAUUCGGGUUCGAUAUUAAUUUCAAAUGCAAUUUUCUUGGCAGAAAUUAAAGAAGUUGCAAAUCCUUCAUCUCUUUAUUUGUUAAAUAAAUAAAUCAAACUUUUUCACUUCACAUAACUUUGUUUUUAAAUUUAUAUAUAGCCUAUUAGGUUUUUUAAAAAAUGGGGUCUCCAUAAAUGUGGGACCUAAAGCAGUUGUUUUACCUGCUUUAUGGACGACCGCCCCUGUAUCUGGACACACCAGCCUGCUUGGACCAACCGCUCAACAAGCUCGAGUAUGUGGCCAUCAAUUCUUUUGAGUGUUCAAAAACUGAAAUGUUUUUUGUGAAGUUAUUGUGUGCUCGCACUCCAUCUCCGGUAAGGAUGUGCAUUGAUCAGGAGCCAGACAUUAGUCUCAGGAAAGAAAGGAAUAUUGCCAUAGAACUGAUGCACUUCCCUAGAGCUUCUCCUGGGGCAGAGCUAUUCUAUUUUCCGGGUGCUCCUUAAAAGUCCCAUUCCCAGCCAACACUAUGCUUAGUACAACAACAACAACAAUCCAGUUGAAUCUCACAAGUGGAGUCUGGGGAGGGUCAGACAAGUUCCUUGGCUUCAUCGUAUCGAAUCGGGGGAUCGAGAUCAACCCCGAUAAAAUCAAGGUUAUCGAAAACAUCGCCGUCGUGGACAGUGUAAAAGUCGUGUUUUCGAUGUUGUUUGAUAUGAUUUAAGGUUUUGACUAAGUUCGUGACGUGUUUUAGGACCUGUAAGUAUGUUUGAAUAGGGCUCGGGGGUUUUGGGUGUGAUUCGGAUCAUUUUGGACACGUUGGAAUGUCAUAAUCGAUGUCUACCCUGGGAAGAUAGAGAGGCUGUUUCUGAAAAUAAUAUUUAUGUUUUUGCUUCGAUUUUAACCAAACAUUCUAAACGUCCAUAAUCA